rnacentral:rRNA from 1 species
AAACGGAGGGGGCUAGUGUUACUCAACUUGACUGGGCGUAAAGGGCGUGCAGGUGGUGUGAUGCGUUUUCUUUUGAAAAACUCAAACUUAAUUUGAGGACAUAAGAAAUACGGUCAUGCUCGAGUUUAUUCGAAGAAAGUUGUACUUCUAGUGUAGAGGUGAAAUUUGCAAAAAUUAGAGGGACAGUCUACGGGCGAAAGCGACUUUCUACUAUAAACUGACACUAAAGCGCAAAAGCAUAGGUAGCAAACGGG